ACCGAGAUUCCCCCAGUAGCGGCGAGCGAACGGGGAGCAGCCCAGAGUCUGAAUCAGCUUGUGUGUUAGUGGAAGCGUCUGGAAAGUCGCACGGUACAGGGUGAUAGUCCCGUACACGAAAGCACACAUGCUGUGAACUCGAAGAGUAGGGCGGGACACGUGGUAUCCUGUCUGAAUAUGGGGGGACCAUCCUCCAAGGCUAAAUACUCCUGACUGACCGAUAGUGAACCAGUAC
rnacentral:rRNA from 1 species